UACGUAGGCAGCAAGCGUUGUUCGGAAUUACUGGGCGUAAAGAGUGUGUAGGCGGUGCUCUAAGUCUGUUGUGAAAUCUCCCGGCUUAACUGGGAGGGUGCGGCGGAAACUGGAGUGCUCGAGUGUGGGAGAGGUAAGCGGAAUUCCUGGUGUAGCGGUGAAAUGCGUAGAUAUCAGGAGGAACACCUGUGGUGUAGACAGCUUACUGGACCACGACUGACGCUGAGACACGAAAGCGUGGGUAGCAAACAGG
rnacentral:rRNA from 1 species